GAACACUUUGAUUCGGCCAGUGUUGCCUGGGUAAAGUGCAAAUUCCGCCAUCGUACACUUCACUGACCAUCGGUUGAAACUGAGAGCUCAUGGCGUUCACGGGUAUGCACUAUAUAUGUAAACAUCACGAUACGUCAGAUAUAGAGUGUUAUGUAUCAGAUGUCUGGCUAUUAACGAGGAAGUAGUCUAGUGGCGCUAUGGCAUUGCGAUACUUACGCUUUUAUGCUUGGACGUUAAGUUCGAUAGCUCGUGCAGUGGCAUCCCGUUGCGAAUGGUGCAAUAGCCGACGUAAUUGCCAUGUCCGCCGACGGCAGUAACAGUCGGAUGCUUUAAAAGAUUUCUCGAGGGCGAUGUCUCUAUUGUCGAGACAAGUCGUCUUUUUCGAAGAUACUCGGACGGCUCGUCACCUGUCAAAUAAAAAUGCCCGAGGUACAGAAGUAGGCACCAGCACUGAUUUGCUGCGGUAUGAUGUCCGGAUUCUUCUCAUCGCUCUCAUUCGCAUCUCCGCUCGUGUCCAGCUUCCUAAACGGACUGCCGGGUAGCUUCUCCUCUGCCAAUAAGCUGCUGCUCUCAC